ensembl:lncRNA
GAUGACAGAGGAUGAGAUGGCUGGAUGGCAUCACUGACUCGAUGGACGUGAGUCUGAGUGAACUCCAGGAGUUGGUGAUGGACAGGGAGGCCUGGCGUGCUGCGAUUCAUGGGGUUGCAAAGAGUCGGACAUGACUGAGUGACUGAACUGAACUGAACUGAAGCUUUUCUCUCUUCCUCCAAGGUUUGUUUUCUCAAAUAUUUUCCCAAACACUAUUCUUUCACCGUAAGUAAUAUUAAAGCUCAUCUAGAAGGCUGCCGAGUAGCCCUUACUGUAGUUACUCUGGUAGCCUUUACUGUAGUUACUCUAAAACUAUAGUUAUAGUUUUAAAUGACAAAGCUUGUGUUACAUGUUGUGAAAUAGCUCUUCUGUUGUAUGAACUACUUUACAACUAUGCAAACCAAUUAUUUUAGAGUUAAACUGUCUAGAAAUUUCCUUACUCUUGCCCCAGUAAUGUAAGAUACAUUAAUAUCUAUUAAAUUUGAGUAAAUUAUAUACUUAAAAUAGGACUGAGUGCACUGAAUUGAAAAUUUUCUGAAGCCAUGUGUGACAGUGGCAUGAAAAAAUGUUUUCCUCAAAAUCUAUCACUAAGGAGAUUGAAUAGACAAAGUGAUUAAUUUGUCCAGUAUACAGUGAGUGGAAUUUGGCACUUAGGGGUUCAUAAAAAUGAAGAGUGCUUUAGGAAAACUUUAUCUUAUUGGCACUGAUUUUCUUUGGGAUCCAGAAUAAGAAAACUGUCCAGUGGAGGAAAGGAAUUAGAGCUACUAAGUGAAGUAAAGUUGCUCAGUCGUGUCCGACUCUUUGUUCAAUCCCUGGAUUGGGAAGAUGGCCUGGAGAAGGAAAUGGCAACCCACUCCAGUAUUCUUGCCUGGAGAAUCUCGUGGACAGAGGAGCCUGAUGGGCUACAGUCCAUGGGCUCGCAAAAGAGUUGGACAUGACUUAGCAACUAAAUAACAGCCCAGAACUACAAUUUCUAACUCAUCCAUGUUUUAUUUCUCCUCCAAGGAUUGUCAUCCUUUAGAAUUCUUUUGAAGCUAUUGAAAAUUUAUUUUUUUCUACGUGGGCAAUUUACUGUUAGUUCAGUAGAGUUUCAUAUGAAUUUCUACGCUGUUUGCCAAAACAAAUUAUACCCAGAACAUACUUAACCAUAUAUUCUGGAGGCAGCUUUCAUCUGAAAUAAGGUUCAUCUUCUGAAAGUAUUAG